rnacentral:rRNA from 1 species
GACGAACGCUGGCGGCGUGCUUAACACAUGCAAGUCGAACGGAAAGGCCCCAGCUUGCUGGGGUACUCGAGUGGCGAACGGGUGAGUAACACGUGGGUGAUCUGCCCUGCACUCUGGGAUAAGCCUGGGAAACUGGGUCUAAUACCGGAUAGGACCGUGCUUUAGUGUGUGCGGUGGAAAGUUUUUCGGUGCAGGAUGAGCCCGCGGCCUAUCAGCUUGUUGGUGGGGUAAUGGCCUACCAAGGCGGCGACGGGUAGCCGGCCUGAGAGGGUGUACGGCCACAUUGGGACUGAGACACGGACCAGACUCCUACGGGAGGCAGCAGUGGGGAAUAUUGCACAAUGGGCGGAAGCCUGAUGCAGCGACGCCGCGUGGGGGAUGACGGCCUUCGGGUUGUAAACCACUUUCGGCAGGGACGAAGCUUUUGUGACGGUACCUGCAUAAGAAGCACCGGCUAACUACGUG